rnacentral:rRNA from 1 species
CCUAGGAGGCAGCAGUAGGGAAUCUUCCACAAUGGACGAAAGUCUGAUGGAGCAACGCCGCGUGAGUGAAGAAGGGUUUCGGCUCGUAAAGCUCUGUUGGUAGUGAAGAAAGAUAGAGGUAGUAACUGGCCUUUAUUUGACGGUAAUUACUUAGAAAGUCACGGCUAACUACGUGCCAGCAGCCGCGGUAAUACGUAGGGGGCAAGCGUUGUCCGGAUUUAUUGGGCGUAAAGCGAGUGCAGGCGGUUCCAUAAGUCUGGU